GUUAGUUAACUGAGUUGCUUUUUUUUUUUCCGAUCACAACUCUGACAUCUUGGUCCUUCGAAAGCCGGAUACCAAUAGACCAGAAUGGUGGUUGGCCCGUGACGGAGGACCCCGUUGGAAGACCGUGGCCACGGCCGGGACUAGUUCCCGCAGACCCUUUUCCGGGGGGACGGGUCUCCUCCCUAACAGGUCGGUGAAGGCAUACGGACUUCAGCGACAUUGCAUGAUCACGGGGCCCUGACAAUCAUAUCCAGAUUGGCGACUGGGUGCUGAUAAAGACUAUUAAGAGAAAGAACUGGUCAUCUCCGAGGUGGAAAGGCCCAUUCCAAGUGCUGCUAACCACCCCCACUGCAGUGAAAAUCGCAGAGAGGUCAUGUUGGGUGCAUCUAUCCCACUGUAAAAGACAAAGAUACCUGAAAGAUCCUGAACUAUACAAGGGGAGUGACGUGUCAUAAGCGCGUCAUAACAGAGACAGAGAGUGACCAGGAGUGAACAAAGACAAAGACCAGAGGUUGAAGCAGAUACCAGGGUCCUGAAGCAGACGAGUAACCAGCUGUGACCAAGGAGAGGUCUGUCAACUUGAACAAGGAUCAGAAGCAGACGUACUACAAGCUUGAAAUACAGCACUGACGUGACCAGACCAGGAGA